rnacentral:lncRNA from 1 species
UGCUCAAAAACAUAUGUGAUGGCUGAGUAAAAGGAUUUCGAUGAGCGGGGCUCACAGUUAGUUCUCCUGGUACCUGCGGAACAGGUGAUCUACUUGGCUGCAAGGGGAGAUGCUACACAAGUUCUAGGCACUGGGAAGUUUGGGUGAAGGAAACCUGCCAUCCUAUAAGAAGAUAACAGUCUUUUCUGCCAAAAACAACCGGAACCCUGGUGGUCCACCAUUCAGGCACUGCAGACAGCUCCCAGGAGCUCUGAAAUGCCUGUUCUUUGCUGGGUAGUCCCAGGAGGGCCAUCUGUCUCCCAGCUCUGCCUCUGACCUAACUCUGGAAGCAGCAAGCUAAGCACCAGAGGCCCCCUGGGUGUGAGGUCCCCAAGUCAGUCAAGGUCUCCAUUGUAUAUACACUAAUUGCCUUGGUCACUGCUGACUUACGGGAACUCCAUGGUUAUCCAGCUACUUCUGCCAAG